rnacentral:rRNA from 1 species
GAUGAACGCUGGCGGCGUGCCUAAUACAUGCAAGUCGAGCGAACAGACGAGGAGCUUGCUUCUCUGACGUUAGCGGCGGACGGGUGAGUAACACGUGGAUAACCUACCUAUCAGACUGGGAUAACUUCGGGAAACCGGAGCUAAUACCGGAUAAUAUAUUGAACCGCAUGGUUCAAUAGUGAAAGACGGUUUUGCUGUCACUUAUAGAUGGAUCCGCGCCGCUUUAGCUAGUUGGUAAGGUAACGGCUUACCAAGGCGACGAUGCGUAGCCGACCUGAGAGGGUGAUCGGCCACACUGGAACUGAGACACGGUCCAGACUCCUACGGGAGGCAGCAGUAGGGAAUCUUCCGCAAUGGGCGAAAGCCUGACGGAGCAACGCCGCGUGAGUGAUGAAGGUCUUCGGAUCGUAAAACUCUGUUAUUAGGGAAGAACAAAUGUGUAAGUAACUAUGCACGUCUUGACGGUACCUAAUCAGAAAGCCACGGCUAACUACGUG